GGGGAGGGGCGCGGGGACUCAAGCCACGGUUUUUGUGUCCGCGGCUGCACCCCUCUCGAAGCGUUUUCACGCACAUGUGAGAAACCUCACACCCUGGGGCCGAUUUCUUUAGUAGAUUGGCGCCCAAAUGGCAAAGAUUUCCAGGGAUUUGUUUGGGAUUCCAUAUUUUUGUAGAUUUGCCGAGAUUGGAUACUAGUACAAUAUUGAGAAUUCCCGUCCAGCAAUGUGGCUAUUUUUUUAAAUUAAUUCAGUUCUCCCUUUGUUUUUCAGGCAGUCCUCUUUGAUUUGUAGGGAUAACAUCACUAUUAUAAAACCUACGAUUGGUGCUCAAGGUAUUUUCAGACCCCUCCCUGGAUGGAUCAGCUGCUCCCACCCAGACUGAUGGUCUUGUGGCUUCCACUCAGGAACUGACUCAGCACAAGAGGACAGCUUUGACUCCCCAUUCCUGGGGGACCAGUCAGCACUCCCCACUACCUGCCCCCCAUCCAUGAGAUUAUCCUUAAAAACCCCAGUCUCCGAAUUUUCAGGGAGACUGAUCUGAGCAAUAAUAAAACGGCAGUCUCCUGUACAACCAGCUGUGUGAAUUAAACUCUUUCUCUGUUACAAUUCCUUUGUCUUGAUAAAUCGGCUCUAUUUGGGCAGUGGGCAAAAUGAACCUGAUGGGCAGUUACUAAGGGUGAAGUGUGGGAGUAGGGUUACAGAUUAAAGGAUAGUUUAGGAAGGCAUCCCAGAGGUGAGGCCAAAGCAGAAUCUUGAAGGGCAAGAAUUAUCCAGGCAAAGAAGGUAAGGAUAGAGAAGAGUAUUCAGGCCAGGCAUGGUGGCUCACGCCUGUAAUCAUAGCUCUUUGGGAGGCUGAGGUGGGCAGGUCACGAGCCUG
rnacentral:lncRNA from 1 species